UCCCUCAUGCUUGUUUUCAAUGAACCAGAAGCUUGUCCCUGCUCACUCCAUACGUAUCUCUCCAGAUCAUUAAGAAAGCAAGCACAAGCGUUGCUGAUCGGCUGAUCCCCAUCGCACAGUGCACUAAUACUCUGCCUGAAAAUAAGAGAGAGCACAUCACUAUUUUACACCGUACAGGAGCACCUAGACUUUCAGGUUUAGUAACUGCUGCGAAGCCAAUGAGGCGAAGUUUUUUUCUGUCUUUCCUAGAAGGUAAUUGAACCAGCAGAGAUGUGAUUAUCUUGAACAUGCCACUGAUUUCAAUAAUAGCUGUGCAAACUGUGGGAAGAGCAGUAGAGCAGCCUCCCUCCAACCCUGGCAAGGAGAGAGCCUCUCGAGUUCACUGCUGGAACAAAACCAAAGCGUCCCGGAUGCUUUCAUGACAAGGAAUUGCGUCAAAACAGCCGUUUUGGGAUCAAAAAGGCGCUGCUUUCUACCAGAAGCAAAUAAGUUCAGUAGAAGAUCAGCUGGAAAAGUUUCCGGCUGCAUCGGUUAGUUUGCUUGGAGAUGUCUUGUCUCAUUUGCUGACCCGUGGACGGGGAUUCUCAAGCUACCGAGGUGGUUCCAUUGUCAAUUGCAACCAAAGACUGUACUGAGGAUGUGCCAUAGGGCCAUGCAGGUACGGAGUGGCAGUUUUUGAGCAAGGCACAAUCCAAAGAAGCUGGAAUGGUGGCAUCUCAUUAAAUAGUGCUUCCAUAGCUUGGUUACAGCAACAGACUCUGGACACCUGCUUGCUGAUAGUCAAGAGGCUGCGUUUUGAGGGCAGUGGUGGCCCGUCAAUAUAGGCAAACUAGGCAGUUGCCUAGGGAGCCAAGAUAAACAGCUGUUGAGGGCUUUGGAGGCGGGGGUGCCGACUGCAUGCCGAUCGUGCGUUUUGCCUAGGGUGCCAGUUGCCGGCAGCUCAUCUAGGGCCACUCCUGUUUGAGGGUGAUGAGUGCUCCUUUACUUACUAAUACCCCAGUACUGGUGUAGAGGAGAUCGAGGAAGUCCAAUAGCUAGGACAACAGUUUCUCUUUAAGCAUACAACAGAGCUCCCAUGGAAGUCAAAAUAAACAACCUGCCCCAGUGGUGUUCAGUUAUGUCAGCAUAAAUCUGGAGUAACUCUGAUUUCAGUGACAUUACUCUAGGUUUACAAUGGUGUAACAGAAUCUGGCCUCAAGUGCAAUUCUAAAGAUCGAGUAUGUGAUUCACAGCUUAAAAAUCUCCAGGAUGUGUGUACAUCAUAUAUACUUCAAUGUUACUCGGUAUUCUCCUGGAUGUACAAGUUAAUAAAAAUGCCUUCUAAAAAGCUGCAGUGGAACUAACUAGUCUGAGAAACUAUUUAGUAGUCAAUCAAAAGUACUAUGGUAUACCCUAACUUGAAAACAAAUGGCUCUCAUGUUAGAUGGUACAUUUAUGUUGCUCUACAUCUCUAGUUUUAAAAAAAUGCAACUAUUUUCCCCCUCAUCUAAGGCCAUGUCUUCAGUCCAGGGAAGAUCGAUACUGUUGUGAUCAAUCUUCCAGAGUUUGGUUUAGCGGGUCUAGUAAAGACCCGCUGAAUCAAACUCAGAGGGUGCCCCUGUCGACGAUUGGUAGUCUUGUUCCUGUCAGGUGUAAGGGAAGCUGACGACCAUUUCCUCCCAUCGGCCUCCUGUUUUGGGGACAGUGGGGAAACUCAAAGCAAGGUACAUCAACUUCAGCUACAUUGUGUAUUUUGAGUUAUGUAUCUUGAUUCAACCUUCCCCUUUAGUGUAGUCCUGGCCUAAAAGAUGUGGCUAACACACUCAUCAUUCCUUUCUUUCCUGCACAGGCCCUGGCUAUUUAGCUGCUGAGUUGCUGUAGCUAAAAUAGCUCUGUUUCCAGAAUGUCUUGUUCAUUAUGUACUAAACUCUGACACCCUUUAAAAAAACCCAAAACUUCAAAUGGUGACUGUCAGCAGCAGCUGGAUUGUGUGUGGUUUUGAAUUUGGCCUUCUUGCCAUUCCCAGCACUCCUGCUGGCAUAUGGACUUGGAGAGUUGAGGAAAGUAAUAUCUAUAGCCGUAACAGAAGGACUAAAUAUCUAUUCUGGCUAUGAUUAGUUCAGCUGUGAUGACCUUAUACCCACACUGUAGUUCCAUAGGACAGCAAUAUAGUCUAUUUUUUUACGGUUCUCCUUUCAGUACUCUGGAAUGUGCCCAUGAAGGCAUUGUAUUUCCUUUGUGGACAAAGUUGUACUAACCUCUUCAAGGAGGGAAGGGAGCAUCUGUCCAGAUUCACCUUACGGUUCAGAUUCUCUUCCUGACCAUGGAGAGAGCCCAUCGACAGAGACUGCUGGUAGACAGCAGAUGCAAACGGCUUUCCCCUAAGGAACCCAGUGGGGCGAACAUAAAGUGGCCGCACCUUUCCCUUACUAUCAUGCUAACUACUUUGAACGGGGAGCGUGCAACUGAAAACUUGAUUUGUUUGAAAAAGCGGGUCCUUAAUUUCUCUGUGCCAUGUAAUGUUCCAGAUG